rnacentral:rRNA from 1 species
GGGUUAAGUCCCGCAACGAGCGCAACCCUUGUCCUUAGUUGCCAGCACGUAAUGGUGGGAACUCUAAGGAGACUGCCGGUGACAAACCGGAGGAAGGUGGGGAUGACGUCAAGUCAUCAUGGCCCUUACGGCCAGGGCUACACACGUACUACAAUGGUCGGUACAGAGGGUUGCGAAGCCGCGAGGUGAAGCCAAUCCCAGAAAACCGAUCCCAGUCCGGAUCGGAGUCUGCAACUCGACUCCGUGAAGUCGGAAUCGCUAGUAAUCGCGAAUCAGCAAUGUCGCGGUGAAUACGUUCCCGGGCCUUGUACACACCGCCCGUCACACCAUGGGAGUUGGUUGCUCCAGAAGUAGGUAGUCUAACCGCAAGGGGGACGCUUACCACGGAGUGGUCAAUGACUGGGGUGAAGUCGUAACAAGGUAGCCGUAUCGGAAGGUGCGGCUGGAUCACCUCCUU